AUUCAUUGUGUUUGUGCUGCAAGUUUUAUGAACUGGUUAUAAAGCUUAUGUAUGAAGAACCGUUUACUGCCUGGUUAGCUGCAGUAGAGCACUCAUAGGAAUUGGGAGAUCUGUGGAAUCCCUUUGUGGCUUGCAAAUUUCAACCUGUUUUCAAAAAUUGCUUAGUUGGUCAGUGUGUUAAUAUUUCAAUUUUCAGGUCUGGUAAAGAAAGUUAUUUAAAGGCAGUGUGCAAGGUUUUCCUUAAUAAUAGCAUGUACACAGGAAAAAAAAGCUUAAUAUUAGAUAUUUUGUUAUAAUCAGUUUGUGGUCCGUCCAUAGCUAAACAUGAACAUAGAUAUUUUUUACUUUUAUUAGUACUAUAUACAUAUUAUAAAUAAAAGGUUGUAUCUUGCAUCUUCUAAUCCUUAAAGUUGCAUGGUGGCCUAGUGUGUGUGUUGUUUAUCUAUGAAAUUUAUACAUGUAUACUAAUAUCUAGGCUACAUUAUGAUGUACUUCUCAAAGAACAGUAUGUUUAAAAUGCAGGUUUAUACUAAUUUAAAUACAGGUACAAAUUAAUCCUGUGUUGUAUAUAGCAGAAUGUCCCUUAUUUUCACUGUUAUCUUUUACAACUGUUCAGGUACACUUCACCUGCAUAAAACUAGUUCAGAUAUAUAUGUCCCAUAGAGCAAAACAAUUGUCACUAAAUCAUUGUAUAAUCGUUAUUGGCAGUUCACUUCUGUAGUUUCUGAAAUGAAAAAUUGUUGUUACCUACCUUCACUCUUAAUUCAGUUUUAGUGGAAUGCUUAAUUUCAUUUUUUUUUCUUUAUUAGUUGUAAGUAGUGGGCUCUGUGUUCUGAUUAGUUCCUAAAUUGAACACAUGUUUAAACGUCGGUUGUUAAAUUGUAUAACAUGUUAAUGCAGAAUUGUACCAUAACAUGAAAUUGUAUUUUUUGCUUUGUACAUUGUUUGAAAUGUUACCAUCUUGUUUCUAAUAAAUGUUUUUUAUAAUUCACCAUCUAGUCCUAUUUGCAAAAAAGUGAACCAUUUAAAUAUUGUAUUUAAAGUAUACACCCGUUAGCCUUACUUAAGUCGUGAACAUUUCGUAGGCAUUUGUUAUCCCCAGUAAUAGGCGGAGGGAUAUUGUUUUGGCGCUGUUUGUCCGUCCUUCCGUCCGUCCGGCACUUUUGUGUCCAGAGCCAUAUCUUGUUAGUGCUUUAGCGGAUUUCAUUGAAACUUGGUAUGAGUAUAUUAUAUGGAUAAGAGGAUGAUGUACACUUUGUAUCUUGAAAAAAAUGCUUUUUAAUAUAAUCUUAGAGCUUUAUCUUCACUAACACAUGAGCCAGAGCCAUGAAACUUGCCAUAGUUGUUCUCAAUCAUCUAGGGGUGCUUCACAUUCAACAUCCAUAAUUCUAGGGGCUAAGGUCAUGGCCCUUUGUAUCUUGAAAAAAAUGCUUUUUGAUAGAAGCUUAGAGCUUUAUCUUCAUUAACACAUGAGCCAGAGCCAUGCAACUUUCUAUAGUUAUUCCAAUCAUCUGGGGUUGUUUCACAUUCAACACCCAUAAUCCUAGGGGCUAAGGUCAAGGUCACACAUUGAGGUCAAAGGUCACAAAUUUGAGGAAUUAUUCAUUAAUUGGUAAUUCCUUUACUAUGCAUCAAGGAAUUCUGUUAUAACUGUCACAAUUGUUCUCAAUUAUCUAGCUGAGUUUCAAAUAUAAGAUCCAGGUUGCUAGGGUCAUGGUCAAAGUCACACACAAAGGUCAAAAUCACACAUUUUGAUCAUAUAUAUAUAUAUAUAUAUAUAUAUAUAUAUAUAUAUAUAUAUAUAUAUAUAUAUAUAUAUAUUAAAACUCAGACCCCACAUAGAUUGCAACCGUCAAUAUUUUCUACACCGAAGUACCAUUAAAAGACCAGUAUUGUUAGUGAGUAUGCACAUUAAGAUCUUAUGCUGAAUGUUCAGUUGGAGUAUGAAUGCUAUUCCAACCACUAUUUCACUUUUAAAAUAUGUAACCACCAAUUGCGAGUCCGCAUGCAAAGAUGUAUUGUAUUUAUUAAAUUUAGAAUUUCUAAAUUCUGGAUAUUAUUUAGAGUAGCAGCAAUCUCAACAUUUCUUACACAAAUUUUAUUCUGUUAAUAAGACGUGUAUAGUAUAGUGCAGGUUAUAAUCUGUUUUUAAAACUAUUAUAUCUAAACAUGUAAUAUACUUUUCUAUUAUUGCAUAAAAAUAGUCAUGUAUUAGUUUUAAUACAUUUUAAAAGUACAUAGGUGAGACUGUAUCAAUUUACUGAUGUUUUUAUCAGUGUAAAUAAUGAAUAACAUGUAUGUACAUUAAGGUCCCUUAUAAGUCUUUUGUUGAACGGUCAUAUAGAAUGCAAUGUAUCUAUUUUAUGAAUGUUGAAAGACAUUUGUACAAUACAUUGUAUAUAGACUGGGACUAUAACAAUGAACUAAAAUUGCUUGCUAAAACAUUUGAAUGAAGUUGAAGAAAGGUAACUCUUUAGGGCUUAAAAAUGGUUGGCAAUAUGGUUCGAGUUACUUCCCUUCAAGCUUACGUGUGGCUAGCAAUUUUACUUAAUACAUUAUGAAAACUGAUUUUAAGUUGAUAUUACAUUGGAGAUUUAUAUUAUCACCACGAUUCAUCUUAAUCAAGGAAUGACCAUGGUAAUUGGAAGAUCUUUUAAGAUGUGUAAUUGUUUGCGCAAUAAUGCAUUUUGUAAUGACGGGCACUAUAUUGGAAGUGUAUGGCAUUCUUGAUAGGGUCGGUGGUGGUAAUGUAGUUUUUACCAUGUAUAGUCAUGAUAGUCAUGUAACGUACAUUGAUAAGCGUUGAAUAAGUCUCUUAUAAUUCCUUUCAUGAAUGGCCAAUGUUGUAUCUAUAGCUUUAUGUUUUAUAUAUGCAUUGUGAAAAUUGUAAAUAUUGGAUGAGACUAUAAUAAACUAUAAAACGUG